rnacentral:misc_RNA from 1 species
UACGGAGGGUGCGAGCGUUAAUCGGAAUUACUGGGCGUAAAGCGCGCGUAGGCGGCGUGAUAAGCCGGUUGUGAAAGCCCCGGGCUCAACCUGGGAACGGCAUCCGGAACUGUCUGGCUAGAGUGUGGUAGAGGAAAGUGGAAUUCCAGGUGUAGCGGUGAAAUGCGUAGAUAUCUGGAGGAACAUCAAUGGCGAAGGCAGCUUUCUGGGCCAACACUGACACUGAGGUGCGAAAGCGUGGGUAGCAAACAGG